CUUCUGGGAGAAUCCAUGCACAAUUCACAAGUGUCACUGGUCCUGCAGGAACAGCAGUUCCUGUAACCUUGAUCACCACUUUUCAUGCCCACCCACCGAAUAUAUUGUAGAGAUUAUAUUAUACUCCUAUGUAGAGGGGGUGUUGUGUUCAUCAUAGCUUUUACUUUAUUCUGGUUGUAUUAUAAAUUCUGUCUUUCACAGAUGCAAGCACAGAUGAAGAAGUGCACAGAAGUGCUGGAGUACAAUCCCUGUCUCAGCAAUUUUACAGACUCACAGUACUCUCAGAUGGGUGGUGAUGAGUAUGCUGGCAGAUGUGACCGUGGAGACCAAUGUUCUGGGCACCCUGGAGUCCCACAGGAGCAGAGGAAAAGGACCAAGCAUGAGAGAACAGGCUGUCUCUUGGGCUUUGGACUGUCUCAUGUCACAGGCUGCCCUAUGCCUGCAAUGAGCUGCGCACACCAGAAGAUGCUUAAAUAUCCACAUAUCUCAUACUGCAGGUGUCUCCAUGGUACCCAAGAGGAAGGACUGGAAGUACAAGCUUGGCACCAGAUAAAAAGAUCCAGAGCCAUUUUUAUAAUAUGCAGCCCAUUGCAAGAAUACUAUUUAAUUCCAGUGUCACUGAAGUAAUCAGCAUCUGUUUAUCACCCAAAUAAUAAUCCAAAUGCUGUGCUGUGGGUUAGUUGCACAUGCAAACCUUUAAGUCUAUGGAUAUUUCCCCCCAAAAAAGCAUAAUUUAUGAGAAAAGAAACACAUCUAAUUUAUUAAAACAAAUUAUUCUCAAACAAUGUGAAAAGAGGAAGCAAGCUUGGUAAUGCUAUUGACUUCGUGGGCCAUAGAUAAAUCCGCUUGUUCUCUUGAUUUUUAGAAAUAUUCUGGGCUGUUCAUGGGCAAGGUGGUUUCAGCACACUCUUCAGAGGCAGAGUUACAAGGGCAGUGACUGCAUGCUGAAGGGAUUUAUCUGCUCAGCACUGGGGCAGCCAGAGAUGCAUUCCUGUAGAGCCAUGUCAAACAAAAACAAACUCUUCCAAAAGAGGAGGAAGAUUCUCCUUCCAUGUUAUGAGCCAUAUGGUAACUGGGUUCAUACAAAUAAACAAAUAAAAACAGUUUCUCUCCCACUCUGGCUCCCCACAUACCAAAAGGAUUCCUGAAGCAGCAGGACUAGGCUUCCUAAAAACCCAGAAUCUGGUUUUGUUUUAUUUUUGUAGUUUUUGAGGAAAGCUGCUCUAAUUUCACUUGUAAAGCACAGUAAGAACUGCAAUGAAAUAUUGCUGGGUUUUGCUAAAAUCCUUGCUGCCUAGUGCUUUAUCCCUAUGGUUAGUUAAAAUAAACAUUAGAAAGGCUGUUGGUCCCAAAUCCUCCUCAUCAUCAGCUCCCAGUUCAGGCUCUACGAUGGAGCACCUAAAGAUGAAGUUGCAGACAAGAUCUAACAACAGAUGUUAAAAACCACAAAUUUCCUUCCUCCUUUCCAGGCUGUAAACAAGAUGUCUCCAAACUGAGACAGGAUAACAUGCUUGCAAUAAGGGCCUAUGAGAUAGGUGGCUUUACAAAUGAUGGGUAAUUACAAGAUAUAACUUCAUAAUUUCAAUGUGGAUGUUGAGCUUCCCACAGAUCCUUCAGAGAUAAUGAUUUCAGUCAGGCAGCUGGACAUUUAAAUAUCCAUUCUGUUAAUCUGUAGGCAUUAUGUACUAACUGCAGCUCUACUAAGAAUGCUGGGCCAGCUCCCAUGAAUAUAUGAUGCAGACUGAAAGCUGACACAUAGACUAAUUACCUUAUUUAAGAAGGGAAGCAGAAAUCUACCCCUGAAUAAAGGAUAUUUGUGGUGGCUAUUUAAACUUCACCCAGGAACACCAGGCAAACAGGAUAUUUUAAGCAACUCUAAAGCCUUUCUGAAUCACAGACUGCCUCUGUCUGACCUACACUGGUUUUGACUAAAUUUACCAGUGUCAUUCAGUGGUACAGAAUCCAUAUUUCAAGAAUCGUGAGAACCCCCACUUUUUAGUACUUCUUUGAGACACAAAACUGGGAUUUUUAUUUCCUUCUUAGGAAUAACAAAAAACAAGGGCAAUGCUUUUUGGGUCUCUGGUUGUGACUGAGCUCAAGGUUAAGGAUGGUUUUUUUAUCUGAAAAGUAUUCACAGUUAUAUGUAGAUAAAAUGAAAAAUAUAAUAACAAUACAAUAGCCACUUUUCAUAUGAAGAAAAUUAUAUUAGUGUGCACAGUCCCACAACAGUAUAUUAGACUCCAAAUUUUUGUGAAAAACAAUCUCAGAAGUUUUGACAUUUUUGGCAUGUACAGAAGGUAUUGAAGUUCACUGACUGCCAGUGGGAUAAUUACCUCAUGUUUCUGGAUCUUUGAUUUUAAUAAUUUUCAAUAUGCAAAUUGUAGUAAAUGAAAUUUUGUUUCCCAAGAGUUUUGUUCAUCACCGUAUUCUCUUUAAAGAAAAUCUUGGCACAACACGCCACCCAGGACUGAGAUCUCCCUUGCAAGUUGAUGCUAAGGGCUAAAGCUGUGUGUGAAGACAAUGUCCAGUUCACCCUGUUCUCGUGUCCUCAAUUACUUUCUGUUGUUUCUCAGUCUGAGAAGUUGUUCUGGAAACUUCAGCCAAUACUUCAUCUAAAACUGGAUAGUUUUCUUUCCUUUCUUUUGAGAAUUAAUUUGUCUUGUACAAUGUUCCAGUUCUGGACUUGGCUCGGGCUUACAUGGCAGCUCUGCCAAACGCUGAGGAGAGGGUGAGUUCACAGCCCCUCAGCACCACUCCAUUUACAGGCAGUCUGCACAUUGUAAACUUUUAAUUCAAAGCAUAAGUUGGUUUCUCAGAGGGCUUUUUCCAGGUGCUUUUUGCCAAUUGUAAGAAGUACCUUGUCCUGACUAACAAACAUUAAAAUGUUUAAUUGCUGUGGAAAGCCCUAAACCUUCAUCUGGUUUAAAUUCCUUUCUGCAGUGCGAGGGACAUCAGGCCAUGGGUCCCCUGUGACAGGGAGAUACCUGCAGUCACUUUUUUUAUGCUUCUCCUCCUAGAAGAUGCUAAUAAGGUCCAUGUGCUGUCUUCAUAGUCUCACUCUAAUUUUACCCAUUGACCCCUUUACUUGUUCUGGUUUCUGAAGCACAAUCUAAAUCUCCUGCUUUACUGGAAAUUGCAGGUUGCCCUCAUUCUUUGAAAGGAACACACACAUACACUUUGUCAGGUGGAUAUGCUCCCGUAGCUUUUCCUUCCCUGCUACCAAUCACCACAUAUUAACAUGUGUUUAUGAUUAUUUCAAAUGUUUUACAGAGAAAAACCUGAAAGCUUGUUACUCAACACAAUUCCUGUACCACCUUUCCCUUUCUUUUAUGCUGAACACUGGCUACAGAAGAAGAAAACAAAGUCUAAAAAUAAAACAAUUAAGUGUAUUCACAAAACUCUUUCCCCAU
rnacentral:lncRNA from 13 species